GAUGAACGCUGGCGUCGUGCCUAAUACAUGCAAGUCGAGCGAACGGACGAGAAGCUUGCUUCUCUGAUGUUAGCGGCGGACGGGUGAGUAACACGUGGAUAACCUACCUAUAAGACUGGGAUAACUUCGGGAAACCGGAGCUAAUACCGGAUGAUAUUUUGAACCGCAUGGUUCAAAAGUGAAAGACGGUCUUGCUGUCACUUAUAGAUGGAUCCGCGCUGCAUUAGCUAGUUGGUAAGGUAACGGCUUACCAAGGCAACGAUGCAUAGCCGACCUGAGAGGGUGAUCGGCCACACUGGAACUGAGACACGGUCCAGACUCCCACGGGAGGCAGCAGUAGGGAAUCUUCCGCAAUGGGCGAAAGCCUGACGGAGCAACGCCGCGUGAGUGAUGAAGGUCUUCGGAUCGUAAAACUCUGUUAUUAGGGAAGAACAUAUGUGUAAGUAACUGUGCACAUCUUGACGGUACCUAAUCAGAAAGCCACGGCUAACUACGUG
rnacentral:rRNA from 1 species